GCCGCCGUAGCUCAGUUGGUUAGAGCAUCUGCCUUGUAAGCAGAGGGUCGAGGGUUCGAGUCCCUCCGGCGGCU
rnacentral:tRNA from 1 species